rnacentral:rRNA from 1 species
AGAGUUUGAUCAUGGCUCAGAACGAACGCUGGCGGCGUGCCUAACACAUGCAAGUCGAACGCGAAAAGGGGGCAACCCCUGAGUAGAGUGGCGCACGGGUGAGUAACACGUGGGUAACCUACCUAAGAGAUUGGGAUAACCAGGGGAAACUCUGGCUAAUACCGGAUACGUCUCGAGUGACCUCGGUCGCUCGAGAGAAAGGGCGGCCUCUGCUUGCAAGCUGUCGCUCUUGGAUGGGCCCGCGGCCCAUUAGCUAGUUGGUGAGGUAACGGCUCACCAAGGCAAUGAUGGGUAGCUGGUCUGAGAGGAUGAUCAGCCACACUGGGACUGGAACACGGCCCAGACUCCUACGGGAGGCAGCAGUGGGGAAUUUUGCGCAAUGGGGGAAACCCUGACGCAGCAACGCCGCGUGGGUGAUGAAGGCCCUCGGGUCGUAAAGCCCUGUCGGGUGGGAAGAAUCCCUCGACGGUGAAUAAUCGGCGAGGAUGACGGUACCACUAGAGGAAGCACCGGCUAACUCUGUGCCAGCAGCCGCGGUAAUACAGAGGGUGCAAGCGUUGUUCGGAAUCACUGGGCGUAAGGCGCGUGUAGGCGGCUGGUUGUGUCGAAUGUGAAAGCCCUCGGCUUAACCGAGGAAGUGCGUUCGAAACUGACUAGCUUGAGUACCGGAGAGGAAGGUGGAAUUCCCGGUGUAGAGGUGAAAUUCGUAGAUAUCGGGAGGAACACCAGUGGCGAAAGCGACCUUCUGGACGGAUACUGACGCUGAGACGCGAAAGCGUGGGGAGCAAACAGGAUUAGAUACCCUAGUAGUCC